GCUUACGGCCAUACCACCCUGAGAACGCCCGAUCUCGUCUGAUCUCGGAAGCUAAGCAGGGUCGGGCCUGAUUAGUACUCGGAUGGGAGACCGCCUGGGAAUACCAGGUGCUGUAAACU
rnacentral:rRNA from 1 species